rnacentral:lncRNA from 10 species
CCCCAAACUUGUAAUAUGGUUAUAUAUGUGCUUCUUUAUUAAAUGCAUUAAAGAACAGCAACAAUAAAUACAAUGGAUGUGAUCAGCUAUUCAUUUUGUUUGUCUUGUUUUGAGACAGAAUCUUGCUCUGUCACCCAGGAUGGAGUGCAGUGGCAUAAUCGCAGUUUACACUCACCAUAAACUCACUGCACCCUCCACCUCCCAGGUUCAAGCAAUUCUCCCGCUUCAGCCUCCAGAGUAGCUGGGAUUAUGGGCAUGUGCCACCACGCCCGACUAAUUUUUGUAUUUUUAGUAGAGACAGGGUUUCACCAUGUUGACCAGGCUGGUCUUGAACUCCUGACCUCAGGUGAUCCGCCCGCCUCAGCCUCCCGAAGUGCUGGGAUUACAGGCAUGAGCCAUCGCACCUGGCUGUGUUUAGCUAUUUGUAAGAGCAAUCUAAGUGUGCAGGUGUGUAGGGGCAGCAGAGUGCAGCUGGUUGCUAGGGAACUAACAGCCCAGCAUCUAUUUACUAGUAAAGAUUUAGGAAAGGGGGCCGGGCGCAGUGGCUCACACCUGUAAUCCCAGCACUUUGGGAGGCCGAGGCGGGCGGAUCACGAGGUCAGGAGAUCGAGACCAUCCUGACCAACAUGGUGAUAACCCCAUCUCUAUUAAAAAUACAAAAAUUAGCUGGGUGUGGUGGUGGGUGCCUGUAAUCCCAGCUACUCGGGAGGCUUAGCCAGGAAAAUGGCUUGAACCCAGGAGGUGGAGGUUACAGUAAGCCAACAUCAUGCCACUGCACUCCAGCCUGGUGACAGAGGAAGACUCUGUCUCAAAAAAAAAAAAAAAAAAAAAAAAAAAGAUUUAGGAAAGGGAAACCAUUUCCUAAAUGGUUUAAGGUUUUUUACUGGUCAGAAUCCAAAAGAUGUCAACAUUUCCAGCUUCUA